UGCUGCUUCUUCUUCUUCUUCUCUCUCGCCAAUGUUCAAACUUUCGGAUUUUUACGAGCUCCGUCUUCAUUGAAGCUUGUUGGUUACACCAUCUCGUGAUUACCCAAAACCUUGAGCAUGCAUGUGUACUCCACAAUGCACAAAAGGGCUUGUAUUUUGGAACCACUGGUCCAAGGUAGCCCAACAAGUUCUAGACAUUUUUAUAGGGCUCAUAAUUGGACAGGACCAGGAGAAAGUGUAAGCUUGGUUGUGAGAGAAGACUACAAACCAUUUACCGGACCCAGAA